CUACGGGUGGCUGCAGUGAGGAAUUUUGCGCAAUGGGGGAAACCCUGACGCAGCAACGCCGCGUGAGCGAAGAAGGCCCUCGGGUCGUAAAGCUCUGUCAAGUGGGAAAAAAAUUUUUUGAUCAAUAGUCAAAAGACUUGAUGGUACCACUGGAGGAAGCACCGGCUAACUCCGUGCCAGCAGCCGCGGUAAUACGGAGGGUGCGAGCGUUGUUCGGAUUUACUGGGCGUAAAGAGCGUGUAGGCGGUUUAGCAAGUCAGAUGUGAAAGCCCUGGGCUCAACCCGGGAAGUGCAUUUGAAACUGCUUCACUAGAGUAUGGGAGAGGUGAGUGGAAUUCCUGGUGUAGAGGUGAAAUUCGUAGAUAUCAGGAGGAACACCCGUGGCGAAGGCGAUUCUCUGGACCAAUACUGACGCUGAGACGCGAAAGCGUGGGGAGCAAACAGGAUUAGAUACCCCGGUAGUC
rnacentral:rRNA from 1 species